ACAAGCCUCAAAUGGAACCUGAGAAGAAGGAAAAAGAGGAGAAACAAGAGAGGAGAGGAGGAGGGGAGGGAGAAAAUCAAUUUUCUCAGACAGAGGCAGGCUGGUCUAAUGGAGGUCUAAAAGAAGAGGAGGAGGAGAGGACGUAUUUUCUUCUGAUUACCUCCUCUAGCUUCCCCAACAAACCUUGAAAGCUAGCAUCGCUAACGUUGCCUCCCUCAUCCGACCUUUCACUGAAGGUUGAACAUUUUUGAUGCUAGAGAAAAAUAAGGAGAUACAAUCCAUUGUUGAAGGCAUCAUCACUCACUCAGGGUGAAAUGAGCAGGAAG